rnacentral:rRNA from 1 species
AUUGAACGCUGGCGGCAUGCCUUACACAUGCAAGUCGAACGGCAGCACGGGAGCAAUCCUGGUGGCGAGUGGCGAACGGGUGAAUAAUGUAUCGGAACGUACCUUUCAGUGGGGGAUAACGUAGCGAAAGUUACGCUAAUACCGCAUAUUCUGUGAGCAGGAAAGCAGGGGAUCGCAAGACCUUGCGCUGAUUGAGCGGCCGAUAUCAGAUUAGCUAGUUGGUGAGGUAAAGGCUCACCAAGGCGACGAUCUGUAGCGGGUCUGAGAGGAUGAUCCGCCACACUGGAACUGAGACACGGUCCAGACUCCUACGGGAGGCAGCAGUGGGGAAUUUUGGACAAUGGGCGCAAGCCUGAUCCAGCCAUGCCGCGUGAGUGAAGAAGGCCU